UACAGAGGGUGCAAGCGUUAAUCGGAAUUACUGGGCGUAAAGGGUGCGUAGGUGGUUGUAUAAGUUGGGUGUGAAAGUCCUGGGCUUAACCUAGGGAUUGCGCUCAAUACUGUAUAGCUAGAGUACUGUAGAGGAAGGUGGAAUUUCCAGUGUAGCGGUGAAAUGCGUAGAUAUUGGAAGGAACAUCAGUGGCGAAGGCGACUUUCUGGACAGUUACUGACACUGAGGUACGAAAGCGUGGGGAGCAAACAGG
rnacentral:rRNA from 1 species